AACGAACGCUGGCGGCAUGCCUAACACAUGCAAGUCGAACGAGACCUUCGGGUCUAGUGGCGCACGGGUGCGUAACGCGUGGGAACCUGCCCUUAGGUUCGGAAUAACUCCCCGAAAGGGGUGCUAAUACCGGAUAAUGUCUUCGGACCAAAGAUUUAUCGCCUUUGGAUGGGCCCGCGUUGGAUUAGCUAGUUGGUAGGGUAAAAGCCUACCAAGGCGACGAUCCAUAGCUGGUCUGAGAGGAUGAUCAGCCACACUGGGACUGAGACACGGCCCAGACUCCUACGGGAGGCGGCAGUGGGGAAUAUUGGACAAUGGGCGAAAGACUGAUCCAGCAAUGCCGCGUGAGUGAUGAAGGCCUUAGGGUUGUAAAGCUCUUUUACCCGGGAUGAUAAUGACAGUACCGGGAGAAUAAGCUCCGGCUAACUCCGUG
rnacentral:rRNA from 1 species